CCCUUAGAUGUUCUGGGCCGCACGCGCGCUACACUGACGAAGUCAGCGAGCAUGUCCUACGCCGACAGGUGCGGGGAAUCUUGUCAAACUUCGUCGUGAUGGGGAUUGAUUAUUGAAAUUCUUGAUCAUCAACGAGGAAUUUCUAGUAAGCGCAAGUCAGCAGCUUGCGUUGAUUACGUCCCUGCCCUUUGUACACACCGCCCGUCGCUACUACCGAUUGAAUGGUUUAGUGAGAUCUUCGGAUUGGCGCCACUGCGGCUCAGCAAUGGGCUCGGUGGAUGCCGAAAAGUUGAUCAAACUUGAUCAUUUAGAGGAAGUAAAAGUCGUAACA
rnacentral:rRNA from 1 species